AGUAUAUUGAUUAGUUUUGGAGUACUCGACCCGGCCA
rnacentral:misc_RNA from 1 species